UCAAGUAGCCUAUAAAUUCAAUGACCUGCGCAUCUUUAUCAAUAAAAUAAUAAAAUACAGCUAGCUUGACCGGGACACAAGCUAAAGGAGAAUAAGACCAACACUUGAACUACUCUACAGAGUAUUAUUUUUAUUCUUCACUGUGUUUGCUGUGAGUGUCACUUCAACUGGGACUUGGAGCAGAAGUCUCAAGAACACGACUCAAAAUGAAAUGCGUUAUAGGAAUUGGCGGUGUGACCAACGGUGGGAAAACAACUUUGACGAAUAGACUGAUCAAGUCAUUGCCUAACUGUUGUGUGGUGCAUCAAGAUGACUUUUUCAGGAAACCUGAUCAUAUAGAAGUCGGGGCGGACGGCUUUAGACAGUGGGAUGUGAUCACAGCAUUGGACAUGGAUGCCAUGGCGAAUACAAUACGAGGAUGGGCUGAGAACCCAGUGAAGUUUGCCUGCUCCCACGGUGUCAAUGUGUCUCCUGCCACGGAGGUGGCUGACCCAGAUCAACUGGUCCACAUUCUGAUCGUGGAGGGCUUCCUUCUGUACAAUUAUAAGUCCCUGAUGGAUGUGUACAACAAGUGCUACUACAUCUCCAUUCCAUAUGAAGAGUGCAAAAGGAGGAGGAGUACAAGACAAUACACCGUCCCAGACCCUCCUGGGCUGUUUGAUGGCCAUGUGUGGCCCAUGUACUUAAAGCACAGGAAAGAGAUGGUGGAAAGCUGUUUGGCCAUCAGUGUGUCUAUUUUAAUUUUCUGUUUGUCAGUAAGCAUUCUUGAAUUUAAGCUGUGCAGUUAUGUAGAUAUUUUAGUGGUGCUAGGUAGUAGCGAUCUCUUCUGGCAAAUGUCCUGAUCAGUGUUUACAUUCUGCUACAGCGUAUUUGGAUGGUUUGAAAUCUAAAGAAGAGCUCUACAGCCAGGUCUAUGAGGACAUCCAGAAUACACUGUUGAAUCGUUUAUAGCAGGAACUUGAUCUCCAAACCUGUAAAUAGCUCCAAGACUGAAGACUCAUUGUUUUAUACUUUUUAUGUUUUUCUCAUUGUAUUCCUUGUAAAUAGUAUUUGUAAAAUGUACUUGCCAAGAUCUCAUUAAUCUCCAAUUAAAUUGGGUUGUCACUAUUCCAAG